CAGUCGCCACGGUAAAACGGAGGGUGCAAGCGUUAAUCGGAAUUACUGGGCGUAAAGCGCACGCAGGCGGUCUGACAAGUCAGAUGUGAAAUCCCCGGGCUUAACCUGGGAACUGCAUUUGAAACUGUCAGGCUGGAGUCUUGUAGAGGGGGGUGGAAUUCCAGGUGUAGCGGUGAAAUGCGUAGAGAUCUGGAGGAAUACCGGUGGCGAAGGCGGCCCCCUGGACAAAGACUGACGCUCAGGUGCGAAAGCGUGGGGAGCAAACAGGAUUAGAUACCCCUGUAGUCCCUGUCUCUUAUAA
rnacentral:rRNA from 1 species